ACUGCAGCCCCGUGGUGGUCAACACCUAAUGCAAUAUUGAAAUUUCAGUUGGGAAAUUGAAAGCUGUCCCUAACAAAAAACAUCUAAAUUUGUUAUUGAAAUCACAGUAAGGAUCAAUGAAUCCAAAUGCUUCUAGCAUAAGCACGAUUAUAGGCAGUGUUUAGACAAGCUCUUACAGGAAAACCAUGAACACAAGGCUAAAGAGAGACUAAGUGAUGCACUCUGCAGGAAUACUCAUGGAAGUCUUCACAGUGCAGGAGUCUGAUCUGAUUACCGAUGCUGUGCUUUAAGUACCCCUUAUCAUAUCUUUGUUUUCAGUGUUGUGCAGGGGUUGGACUCAGUGAUCUCUGGAGGCUGGAGAUGCUGUUUGCUAAUGGCAGAUGGAGAGAGGAAAAGCAAGUGCAAGGCAUGCUGUGCAUAGCCACCACAUGGCAUCUGCACCAUUUCCCCCUGCACCAAGGAGGAGCAGCUCACAAGCUUGGCCUGGGCCAGGGAAGGGAGCAGACAAACAUCUGGACCGACCCCAAACGAGCUGGUUCUGCAGUUGAAAUAGAUGGGUGCUGCAACAUGCCCUUGAAUGUAACAAAACCCACUCUAGUGUGGAUUUGACAUGGGCCCAGCACUGCAAGCCUGUCCGUCGUGGUGGAGCAGCCUGGUGGCCCUCAGUGAUGUCAUAAGGGCUAGAAUGAGGGGAGGAGCAGUGCGUGCUGCGUCCCUUCAUUGGAGCGCUGGAGCUCUGACUGAGCAGCUCGCUUGUUGCACUUGUGCACCGACUGCGUCCCUUUGUCUUCACACCGUCCUGUGCAGCACCUUGUAGGUAAGCUGAGACAGUGUGGGAGAGAUGGGGGGACAGUGAGUGC
rnacentral:lncRNA from 1 species